rnacentral:rRNA from 1 species
GGGGGAUAUUGCACAAUGGAGGAAACUCUGAUGCAGCAACGCCGCGUGAAGAAAGAAGGUCUUCGGAUCGUAAACUUUUGUCUUUGGUGACGAUAAUGACGGUAGCCAAAGAGGAAGCUCCGGCUAACUACGUGCCAGCAGCCGCGGUAAUACGUAGGGAGCGAGCGUUGUCCGGAUUUACUGGGUGUAAAGGGUGCGUAGGCGGCUUCUUUAGUCAGGUGUGAAAACCAUCGGCUCAACUGAUGGACUGCAUUUGAAACUGAGGGGCUUGAGUGAAGCAGAGGCAGGCGGAAUUCCCGGUGUAGCGGUGAAAUGCGUAGAGAUCGGGAGGAACACCAGUGGCGAAGGCGGCCUGCUGGGCUUUAACUGACGCUGAGGCACGAAAGCAUGGGUAGCAAAC